AAAUAGGUUUUAAAAACCACCAAAAGAUUUUAGAAGAAAAUCU
rfam:Myotis lucifugus cont2.36380, whole genome shotgun sequence.